rnacentral:rRNA from 1 species
GAGUGGCGUAAGGGUGCGUAACACGUGGGUAACUUGCCGUGAAGUCCGGGAUAAUUUGCUGAAAGGCGGACUAAUACCGGAUGGAAUUGCGGAAGGACAUCCUUCUGCAUUCAAAAUCGGGGACCGCAAGGCCUGAUGCUUCACGAUGGGCCCGCGUCCUAUCAGCUAGUUGGUGAGGUAAAGGCCCACCAAGGCGAAGACGGGUAGCUGGUCUGAGAGGACGACCAGCCACACUGGAACUGAGACACGGUCCAGACACCUACGGGUGGCAGCAGUCGAGAAUUUUUCUCAAUGGGCGAAAGCCUGAAGGAGCGACGCCGCGUGGGGGAUGAAUGGCUUCGGCCCGUAAACCCCUGUCAUUCGUGAACAAACCUGCUCAUCGAAUAGGUGAGUCGUUGAUAGUAGCGGAAGAGGAAGGGACGGCUAACUCUGUGCCAGCAGCCGCGGUAAUACAGAGGUCCCGAGCGUUGUUCGGAUUCACUGGGCGUAAAGGGUGCGUACGUGGCGGAGUAAGUUCGAUGUGAAAUCUCUGAGGCUCAACUCGGAAACGGCGCCGAAUACUAUUCUGCUAGAGGGUCGGAUGGGAGACUGGGAUUCUCGGUGUAGCAGUGAAAUGCGUAGAUAUCGAGAGGAACACCGGUGGCGAAGGCGAGUCUCUGGACGACACCUGACACUGAGGCACGAAAGCUAGGGGAGCAAACAGGAUUAGAUACCCUGGUAGUCCUAGCCCUAAACGGUGCACAUUUGCUGUGAGCGGAAUCGACCCCGCUCGUGGCGAAGCCAACGCGUUAAAUGUGCCGCCUGGGAAAUACGGUCGCAAGAUUAAAACUCAAAGAAAUUGACGGGGGCCUGCACAAGCGGUGGAGUAUGUGGCUUAAUUCGAUGCAACGCGAAGAACCUUACCUGGCCUUGACAUGCGGGUAGUAGAAGGAUGAAAAUCUGACGGACCCGAAAGGGAAGCCCGCACAGGUGCUGCAUGGCUGUCGUCAGCUCGUGUCGUGAGAUGUUGGGUUAAGUCCCGCAACGAGCGCAACCCUUGUGUCCUGUUGCUACUCCCGCGAGAGCGGGAAGCACUCUGGACAGACUGCCUCGCUUAAACGAGGAGGAAGGUGGGGAUGACGUCAAGUCAGUAUGGCCCUUACGGCCAGGGCUGCACACGUACUACAAUGCUCGGCACAAAGAGAGGCAAAAUCGCAAGAUUAAGCAAAUCUCCAAAAACCUAGCUCAGUUCAGAUUGUCGGCUGCAACUCGCCGACAUGAAGCUGGAAUCGCUAGUAAUGGCGCAUCUAGAUACGGCGCCGUGAAUACGUUCCCAGGCCUUGUACACACCGCCCGUCACAUCAUGAAAGCCGGUUGUAC